AGGGCUGGACCCAGGGUAGAGCUCCUAUAAGGGCAGCCACUGAAGGGAGAGCAUCCCUUGGACUGAGGGUGCUUCUAGAGAGGGGAUGCUGUGUGGCCGGAGAACCUCUUCACCAGUUGGGACUGCCUCAAGGAUCUGACAGGAGGAAUUGAGUAUGCUGCCAAGAUAUUAAAUGAAAUUCCCCAGAAAGACAUUCAGUGCACUAAAAGAGCCUCAAAGGCAGAAAGGGAAGGAAAUGGGCAAGCUAUCAUUUUAACAAGGAUUAGACUGGGAGG